AGAGUUUGAUCCUGGCUCAGAUUGAACGCUGGCGGCAUGCUUUACACAUGCAAGUCGAACGGCAGCGCGGGGCAACCUGGCGGCGAGUGGCGAACGGGUGAGUAAUAUAUCGGAACGUACCCAAGAGUGGGGGAUAACGUAGCGAAAGUUACGCUAAUACCGCAUACGAUCUAAGGAUGAAAGCAGGGGAUCUUCGGACCUUGUGCUCCUGGAGCGGCCGAUAUCUGAUUAGCUAGUUGGUGAGGUAAAGGCUCACCAAGGCCACGAUCAGUAGCUGGUCUGAGAGGACGACCAGCCACACUGGAACUGAGACACGGUCCAGACUCCUACGGGAGGCAGCAGUGGGGAAUUUUGGACAAUGGGCGAAAGCCUGAUCCAGCAAUGCCGCGAGAGUGAAGAAGGCCUUCGGGUUGUAAAGCUCUUUUGUCAGGGAAGAAACGGUGAGGGCUAAUAUCCUUCGCUAAUGACGGUACCUGAAGAAUAAGCGCCGGCUAACUACGUGCCAGCAGCCGCGGUAAUACGUAGGGUGCAAGCGUUAAUCGGAAUUACUGGGCGUAAAGCGUGCGCAGGCGGUUUUGUAAGUCUGACGUGAAAUCCCCGGGCUCACCUGGGAAUUGCGUUGGAGACUGCAACGCUAGAUCUGGCAGAGGGGGGGGUAGAAUUCCACG
rnacentral:rRNA from 1 species